rnacentral:rRNA from 1 species
GACGAACGCUGGCGGCGUGCUUAACACAUGCAAGUCGAACGGAAAGGCCCUGCUUUUGUGGGGUGCUCGAGUGGCGAACGGGUGAGUAACACGUGAGUAACCUGCCCUUGACUUUGGGAUAACUUCAGGAAACUGGGGCUAAUCCCGGAUAGGCGCUCCUGCUGCAUGGUGGGGGUUGGAAAGUUUCGGCGGUUGGGGAUGGCCUCGCGGCUUAUCAGCUUGUUGGUGGGGUAGUGGCUUACCAAGGCUUUGACGGGUAGCCGGCCUGAGAGGGUGACCGGCCACAUUGGGACUGAGAUACGGCCCAGACUCCUACGGGAGGCAGCAGUGGGGAAUAUUGCACAAUGGGCGGAAGCCUGAUGCAGCAACGCCGCGUGCGGGAUGACGGCCUUCGGGUUGUAAACCGCUUUCGCCUGUGACGAAGCGUGAGUGACGGUAAUGGGUAAAGAAGCACCGGCUAACUACGUG